rnacentral:lncRNA from 1 species
ACAGCCUCAAGCCGCGUGGAUUCCUUCCAGACGGCCGGAGCCCCUCCCCCGCCUUUCCUACCCGGCCCCGGCGCCGGGCUUCCCCCCGCCUUAGGAAGCUCGCCCUUCCAGCCAGCGGCCCCGACUGUACUGGCUCCGCGGCAGCCUUGGCUCAGGCGGCCAGCGCUGGACAGCGGCCGGGGAAUCCCGUGCUGCGCGGCGCGGCCGAGGGGCGGGCCUGGCCCGGAGAGUACCGCGGCUUCGGCCCUCUGCCGUGCGCCUCGCGCGUUUUGCAUCGCUGAGCGAAGCAGAGACCCUGACACAUUUUUGUUGAAUCAAUUGACAAAAGAACUGACACCAGAUGGCCAAUCAACUCAAGAGAAAAGACAGGGUUUCACUGUGUUGCCCAGACUGUUCUCGAACUCCUGAGCUCAAGCUAUCCUCCUGCCUCGGCUUCCCAAAGUGCUGGGAUUACAGAUGUGAGCCACCGUGCUUGGCCUAACAUCUUUAAAUACCUGUUAUUUCUUACUCCUCUGAACUUCUCACUUUCCCUGAGAAUAAUUUUACCACCUCUUUGUUGGGCAGAAGUGCAAUAGGAACAUCAGAAAGUGCAAGUACAUAAUAACAGAGAAGUCAGUCUCUUUUUCUUCAUCUCUUGGGCAUCGAAAAGAGCAGAUGAUCCAGAUUUGAAAGUCUGGGAAAGCCAUGCUGUGUGAGAACAGGGGCUUGCAUGACAACAGAGGGUUGGGCUUGAGCCCCCAGGGUCUGCAGCAGUCUCACAGUUUAGCAGUUACUUAUGCCUUUCUCUCAAAGUCAACUGCUGAGUUUUGUCCCAAACUACCCUCUGCUGCAAUAUGUCUCCCAGGCUGAGGAGGAAAUUAGUCUUCUUAUCCCAGUUGUCAUUGCUUGUCACCUUCUCUGAAGCAAUGACAUUCAUGACCUGGUUCUUGGCCUCAACCUCUGAGAAGUUCUCCUUUCUGCAUUCCUCAUCUUAAAUUACUUAACCUGAAAAUAUACUGUUUAAAUCUUACACUGGAGCUCCAUAUACUCUGCUUAACUGCAGAAAGAGUCUGUCUAUGUAAAUUAAUUUUCCAGAUAACUGAAGCUUAGCCAUCUUUUGAUGCCAGCCAUGUGGACGAGAAUUUUUCUGAGGGUGAAUUGCAGUGCAGGUAUCCUUGCUUUCUUAACCAGGAUACAUGGAACAAAAUUGAGCUUUUCUGCCAUUAGUCUGUCCUCUUACAAAGUAAUGAUGUCCUCAAGCUCUACUGGGGUGUGUAGAAUCUCUUUCACGUUUUUGACCUCAGAUUGCUGCAAUUUUGUGCUCUAUAUUUCCUUUGUUAAAAGUUUUUCAUGUUUUGCUGCAUUAUCCCUGGUGUCACUUAUGGCUAGUUACUGCUCAUUUAACAUUUUGUUGACUGAAAAACAAUGUAACUAGAAUUGUGUGCAAAUGUUCUGUAUGGAAACAUCAUUUUAGUACUUGAGGAUCUCUGAGGUCUUUUUCAGGUUUAAUUUAUUUUUAUGGUUCUAGAUAUCCCUCCAAAUGAAUAUGAUCUAUUGUGCAUGCACAGAGAGUGGAACUUUUUGGGGGACACUUCAUGGACCAUUUUUAACUUAUCUAACUCCCAGCUUGGCUCUUCAUAGCUGAUAUAUAUGAUCUCUAGAAAUGUGAGAUAGCAAUAUUGAAGGCAGGAUUCUAAGAUGGCCUGUGUAAUCUCCUCCUCUUGAGUCUGGGAGGGACCUGUGAGUAUGGUGGGGUGCCCCUCUAAUUAUUAGCUUACUUUAUAAGGAAAAGAUGAAAAUUUUUGCAGAUAUAAUUAAAAUCCUUAAUCUGUUGACUUUAAGUUUGAUCUUUUUAAAAAUUAUUUUAUUUUAUUAUUAUUUUUUUUUGAGAGGGAAUCUUGCUCCCGUUGGGCAGGCUGGAGUGCAGUAGAGCGAUCUUGGCUCACUGCAACUUCUGCCUCCCGGGUUCAAGCAAUUCUCUUGCCUCAGCCUCCCAAGUAGCUGGGAUUACAGGCACGGGCCACCACACCCAGCUAAUUUUUAUAUUUUUAGUAGAGAUGGGAUUUUACCAUGUUGGCCAGGCUGAUCUCUAACUCCUGACCUCAGGUGAUCCACCAGCCUCUGCCUCCCAAAGUGCUAGUAUUACAGGUGUGAGCCACCAUGCCCGGCCUUUAAGUUCAAUCAUAAGGGAGAUUGACUAAAGUGGGCCUGACUUAAUCAGGUAAGCCCUUUAACAGAGGGUCUAGAGUUUAAAGAUUUCUCCCUGGUGGCCUUAAAGACGCAAGCUGCCAUGAGUUCUAUAGCAGCAAGAAAAUUAAUACAGCUGCCAAUCACUUGAGCUUGGAAGAGGAUCCUGAACCUCAGAGGAGACUGUAGCCCUAGCUAAAAUCUUGAUUCCAGUAUAGUAAGAUCCUGAGCAAAGAACCCAGUUAAGAUAUGUCUGGCCAGCCAUAGGGCUCACACCUGUAAUCCCAGCACUGUGGGAGGCCGAGGCAGGAAGAUUGUUUGAGGCCAGGAGUUCUAGACCAGCCUGGGCAACAUAGCAAGACCUUGUCUCUACAAAAAAUAAAUAAAAUAAAAUAAAAUAAAAUAAAAGAUAUGCCUGUACUCUCGACCCAUGGAAAGUGUGAAAUAAUAAAUGGGUACUGUUUUAAACCA